rnacentral:rRNA from 1 species
CCCUUAGAUGUCCUGGGCCGCACGCGUGCUACACUGACACCUGCAACGAGUUAUUCCAGCUCCGAAAGGCAGUUGGUAAUCAGAAAUAGGUGUCGUGAUGGGGAUAGACCCUCGGAAUUAUGGAUCUUGAACGAGGAAUGCCUAGUAAGCGCACGUCAUUAGCGUGCGCUGAUUAAGUCCCUGCCCUUUGUACACACCGCCCGUCGCUCCUACCGAUUUCGAGUGGUCCGGUGAAGCGUUCGGACCGUGGCCUUUGGACGGUUCGCCGUCUGUUGGCUGCGGGAAGUUCGUUAAACCUUAUCAUUUAGAGGAAGGAGAANUCGUANCA